rnacentral:misc_RNA from 1 species
AAAACGACCAGAAUAUCAAAAAAGGCAACACAAAGUAAUUUUGCUUCAAGAUAAUGCACCAUCGCAUACAGCAAAACCGGUCAAGGAAACGAUCGAAGCGUUCAGUUGGGAAAUACUUUCGCACGCGGCUUACUCACCAGAUUUGGCUCCGUCCGAUUACUAUUUAUUUGCAUCGAUGGGACACGCACUUUCUGACCAGCGCUUCACUUCUUACGAAAAUGUACGAAAAUGCCUCGAUGACUGGUUUGCCUCAAAAGAGCGACAGUUUUCUUGGCGUGGCAUCCACCAAUUGCCAGACAGGUGGGAAAAAUGUAUAGCUAGCGAUGGACAAUACUUCGAAUAAAGUAUUUUUAAUCAUUUUCAUAAACGUGUAUUUUCUAUACAAAAAUUCCGGUUUCAUAUUUACAUACCUG